rfam:Mouse DNA sequence from clone RP23-441I8 on chromosome 11 Contains the Butr1 gene for butyrophilin related 1, a novel gene (2410016F01Rik), the Hist3h2ba gene for histone 3, H2ba, a histone 3, H2bb (Hist3h2bb) pseudogene, the Hist3h2a gene
CCAACGGCUCUUUUCAGAGCCACCCACAGAGUCAGAAAAAGUGUCU